rnacentral:rRNA from 1 species
UACGUAGGGGGCAAGCGUUGUCCGGAAUCAUUGGGCGUAAAGAGCGUGUAGGCGGCCCGAUAAGUCCGCUGUGAAAGUCCAGGGCUCAACCCUGGGAUGCCGGUGGAUACUGUCGGGCUCGAGUCCGGAAGAGGAGUGUGGAAUUCCUGGUGUAGCGGUGAAAUGCGCAGAUAUCAGGAGGAACACCAACGGCGAAGGCAGCUCUCUGGGACGUAACUGACGCUGAGACGCGAAAGCGUGGGGAGCAAACAGG